rnacentral:pre_miRNA from 1 species
GAAUCUUUGAAGGUUCAUGAAUCUUUAAGAAUUCAUGAAUUUUUGAGAAUUCAUGAAUCUUUGAGAAUUCAUGAAUCUUUGGGGAUUC